AUUGAACGCUGGCGGCAGGCCUAACACAUGCAAGUCGAGCGCGUGGCGGCCGGGUGAGUAAUGUCUGGGACACUGCCUGAUGGGGGGGGAUAUCUUCUGGAAACUGUAGAUAAUAGCGCAUACCAUCAGAUGUGCCAAGAUGGGAUUAGCUUGUUGGUAGGAUAACGGCUCACCAAGGCGACUAUCCCUAGCUGGUCUGAGAGGAUGAACAGCCACACUGGAACUGAGACACGGUCCAGACGCCUACGGGAGGCAGCAGUGGGGAAUAUUGCACAAUGGGCGCAAGCCUGAUGCAGCCAUGCCGCGUGUAUGAAGAAGGCCUUCGGGUUGUAAAGUACUUUCAGCGGGGAGGCGUUACCCGCAGAAGAAGCACCGGCUAACUCCGUGCCAGCCGCCGCGGUAAUUC
rnacentral:rRNA from 1 species